UGUGUGACUCCUUUUUGUUUUGUAUAGGUUUUCAGUUUUUAAUUACAGAAGUAUAAAAAAGUACAAUCAUUGGUAUAAAUGUGCAACUUGCAACCAGAAUUAAUUUGCAUACAUUAAAUCAAUGGUACUGCACGACGCAGGAAACAUAAUGGGGGCGAUACAGACCAAGACUGGGCAUGAUGACGGUGUUGGCAGAGAGUAGGGGUGGAUCACAAAAGCAAUGCACCUGACAGCUGACUGAGGAGCGCAUGCGCCCUGCCUUCCGCUUAAGUCGCUUUUCCAAUUAGUAAUUUGUUGAACUCAACAAAGUAGUCUGAAAAAUGUGACUUAAGGAUUUGCCCUUUACAUAUCACAUUACAAGGGAUGGCAUACUCAAGUCCCUCCAGGGACAGUCAGUGUAGAUCAAACUCUGACAGAAGAAUUGUCAUAGUAUCUUUGAUAUCGCAAACAAUCGCAAACAAUUUCUGACUGAAGCUUUCACUUUGCGGACCAGAAGGGCUCCUGACUCUGUGAAUGCUGAAAAACAGGCUUGGAUCGAAGAGUACUCUUACAGCGAGGCAUCCCUCUCCUGGAGUUCUUACUCACACCCUUAAUCCCAAAUGGCACACUAUUCCCUAAAUAGUUCAGAAUUUUGUACCAGAGCCGUGGAAAAGAAGGGUAUUUGGGAUGCAUACGGGUGUCUUAGCUGUUCCAAUCUCUCUGACAGGCUUAUUUAAAAAGCCAUUGUCUCAAGUCUGAAACAACAAAUGUAUCUAUUCACUGUUUGGGUAACCCUGUCAACUUAAAGCCUGUAGUUAUAAAGUGUAAUAGUAUCUACUUACUAUAUGCUUUAUAAUGUCUGAUAAUUGAUAAAAUGUGAUGUUCUUCAAGUACACUUUGUUCUGGCACAACCAACAUAAACAGAGGCUGAGAAAAGCAGAGUAGAUAACAGUUAUACUAAUACACAUUUAGCCUGGCAAUAAAAUACAAUGUCUCUGUUUUUCAUGAUUGAGUGAGCCGAAACAAGAUAUACGAUGACCAUAUAACCUGAGUGACUGAAUGAUUACGGGACAAUUACUCUUCUUGACCAUUAAGCGUGGGUCCACCCUUGCUUUUUUUGUGAAAUAACUAAGUCAACAAAGCUGUUGGUGCCUCUCAGUCUUAACGUAGUGUCUUGUGACAGAACUUAAUUCAGUCCAAAUUUAACUGGAGCCGUUUAUAAUGCCUCUCAAAAGCAUUCACCCCCUGGACUUUACCCACAUUUUAUUGUGUUACAGCAUGAAAUCAAAACGAAUGUAGUUAGGAGUUUUUGCCACUGAUCAACAUGAACAAAGUCCUUUAAGUCAAAGUAUAAUCACACGACUAAAGACAAUUGGUAGUCACAAGUAGGGGGUUAAUACUUAUGGAAACAGUUCAUUUUAUAUUUGUAAUUAAUUUAGAACAAUUUGCUUAUUUUAUUUUUCGCUUAGACAUUAGGAACUUUGUGUUGAUCAGUGGCAAAAACUGCUGAUGAAAUCCAUUUUAAUUUCAUGUUGUAACACAAAAUGCGGAAGCGUCCAAGGGGGUGAAUACUUUUUAAAGCCACCAUAAAGAUAUUACAGGCAUGUUUUCCCAAAAUGUCACUGAUGUUGGAGAAUUCUUGGAAUUAGAAGGAUAUUAGCACUGUGUCUGGAAUCCUCUAACCAAUAUUUCUGGAGAACCAGGGAGUUUCUUGAAAAUGCCCUAAAAGUAGCAACCAUAGAUAGGGUAAUACUGUAGGAACAUGUAAAAUGUUGUUACUGUCUCAGUAUUUAUUUCAGCUAAAAAACCUAGUUAGUCCCCCUGAGAGAAGCUAACUAAAAGCAUUAAUAGACUAAUUCACAAGAAGUCAGCCACCCAGUUAAUUUAUGUCUAUAUCUGUUGAAAAAUAAUGUAAUGAUUACAGUUUUUAAUUAUCACUGCUGUGUGGCCAAUAUGCAUAUGCCUUUGAAAAGCAUGGAAGAUAUGCACCGGCUGUAUCUUUAAAUCAUUACAAAUUCCAGUACUUUUGACCAGAGCCCUAUUACAGGCCCUAUAGUCCCGAUUACUGGCCUGUUUAGAAGUCCCUAUAGGCCCCAAUACAGGCCUUGUUAGAAGUCCCUAUAGGCCCCAUUACUGGCCCUUUAUAAUAUAGGAUGCAUACUCUUAUACGAUCCAACGGUUUUGUUAACAUGCCCUGUGCCAAGGACUUUUCCAUUACACUGUGAUGAUCUGUGAUCCUCCCCUAUUAUGGUCUUAUGGAGAUUAUGUUACACUUUGAUCCACCCCUUUUAUAUCAUGAUCCUCUGGGCAUUACAUUACCCUGAGAUCCACCCCAUUACAAUCCUCUAUAUAUAACAUUUCACUGUGAUCCUGCCCAAUCAUCCACUCUGGAUAUUACAUGACACAGUGAUCCACCAAUUAUUAUCCCCUGGAUAUUACAUGACACAGUGAUCCACCAAUUAUUAACCUCUGGAUAUUACAAUACACUGGGAUCCUCCCCUGUUGUUAAAAUACUCUGGAUAUUACAUUACGAUGUGAUCCACCCCUGUUAUGUUAUGGCAAUUCCAGUGAUAUAACACAGAAGUGAUAUUACAGAACAGUAUGUACAAACAAUGUCAUUUUAAGAACUGUGGCAUAUAUUAAUAAUAAUUGAUAUAAUUUAUAUGAUAAAUAUCUCUAACAUGUUUGGCUUCCAUAUUGCUGUAUGUAGAAUAGACGAUAACAUGACAAUAAAUCAAUUCCAUUAAAGUAUUGAUGGAAACUGUGAUUGAUAGAUAGAUACAUCACCUUUCAGUAAGAAGCACUGCUGUUGCUGUUGACAACCAAUACGGUCACCUUCCUAAUGAAGCCCUACCCCCUAGAUAGUGCACUACAUUUGACCAGAUUCUUAUGUGCUCAAAAUCAUGCUAAACAUGAAACAGGGUGCCAUUUUGGGCACAACCUACAUUUUCCCAUACAGACCUCCCGUCUUCUUUCAGAAGAUACAGAGGGCAUCAGGACAGAUAGAUCCAUUGACAUCAAUGGAGAUUCAUUUUGCAAAAUGCAAAAGGAUUGUAUUAUACAAUAUACAAGCUAUACAUAUCUUUUUUUUUUUGGUGAGGUGAUAUUAUUUUUUAUAAUUAUUCAAGGACAAAGAUAAGGCAAUUGAAUACAAGCCAUGCAUGCACUUGUGGGUAAACCUUAUUGUAAAUAUAUAUGCAUUUAGAUAUCUAAUGUUGUAAAGCUUGAUGCAUUGUCACUUUUGCUUGUGUAAAAUGCAUUUCAUUAUAGGCUUUUGUUUCUAAUUCUAAACUAGGGACUUUUGCAAGACGAUUUGAGUGAUGCAUUUCAUUUCAAUAACUAUCAAUAAAUGUCUUUCUGCAAAACAUGCACACAGACAUACACACACAAACACACACACACUCACACUUGCACACAUGCACACAAACAUGCGUACAUACACACGCGCGCACAAAAAGAGUAUCAGUGAUACGGAUGUGUCCAGCAGUACUGUACCUAGGCUCCGCCCCUCUUUUUCCACAGGGAAUUGUAGAAUUAAUUUAGUAAACUUAUAGAUGGGGUAAAGCCGUCAAUGGAACGGUGGCUGUCAUAGGCACCCAGUCAACUCUGACUAAGUUAAUAUUAGUCAAAUCCUUAAUGAUUGAUUUAUUAUAAAAAAAGGCCAACAAUGUAAUUACCUAAGUUCGAUUUCAAUGCUAAGAAAUGGUCUGUUUGCUCACAGCAACAUGCCAUUCAUAUAUGCUGGCAGAAUAGUACCUAGCAUAAAGAAAUCAGUGUGUGUAAUAAUUUUCAGCUGUUAUGGAGUUUAGUGUUGAUGAUAACAUGAACAUAUAUAAUUGUUGUCCAUGCAAGUAUCAUGGUAAAAUUUUUACCUUUUUAAAGUGUGAAAUGCACACACAAAUAUUAACCAAAUUGUGUGCUAAUUUGCCCCAAUGGGUUCUUUCCACUAUGCGUUGUCAUGACAUUUCAGUGGCUUGGGUGGAUUUCCACUACCUCUUUACCACAUUAGACAGUACAGAUAGGUGACAAUUUAAAGUAAAAACGUUUGUAAUGGGGGGUUUAUGCACAGCAACCCUACGAUAAUAUCUCUGUCCAUGUCAUUUUAAAUGAGCUGUUCUUGCUGAUCAGUCUGAUCACGACCCGCAACCUAGGAUCGAGUUACUAUUCUGGAUUUCCUUACAUAUUGCAGUAAUGCACAAAGAUCAUGGUAAUUGAAUGUGUUUUCAACCACCAUGUCUGUCCCAUAGAUUUCCUCUUGCCAUCUUGAACCAAAAUCAAGGUCAACUGGGCCUGCUGAACAUUUUUACAAGUUCCACAGAACAGGAUGUUAAUUGCUAAAUUGUACCAUCCGGUACACCUGUAUGGAAGCAUCUGCAUUCAUUUUGUUCCUCCACUCAUUUAUUCAGAUUUUUUUUUUUUUACAUUUUAGUCAUUCAGCAGACACUUUCAUCAAAAGUGACUUACAGUAAGUACAGGGAACUUUUUCCCCAGAGCAACAUAGGGUAAGGAUCCUUGGGACAUAAUGACAAUUGGCCCAGUCGGGAUUCAGCCCGGCUACCUUCCCAUUACAAGCCUGACUCCCUAACCGCUGAGCCAGGGACGCCCCCAUCUGUCACCCAUCUGUAUACAAUCUACAGAACCUAAACAACCUAUAGAAUGUACAGUUCAUAGGCUGAAAAACCUCUAUCACGUGGGCCUUUAGGAAUCUACUGGUAUGGGUUGUUUUUGAAAAGACUCACGUGGAUACAUUUACUCGUUGCUACAAUAUGCUGAUAUGCCUAUUGGCUGAGACAUAUACAUUUAGGUGUUUCAUUCGCUAUGUGUUAUAUCCUGUUGUGUGACAGAAUCCGGCGGUAUUAAAUCGCUAGAGUCCAUACGCCAUAUACAUUUUAUUGUCCGCAAAAUGAAUAUACAACCCAUAGACUUGAAAGUCUUUGGACCGGUCUUUGUCAUGGAAAUAUACACCGCCUUAUAGAAGCGGUCCAUGCUCACCGCAUUUGCCAUUCAGUGUACCUGGUGCAAUCAGUAGACCGGCUCAGCGUGAGAUGGCCAUGGGGACCUGGUUCAUCAAAAUAACGAUAUGCAGUCAUCCGGAGAUUUUGUGUCAGUAUUGCGAUGGAUCUAUGACUAACAGCAAGAUGCACACAUUCAUCACAUUUUCUUUACAGGAAGGUAUGCUAACUGUGCCAUUCGCCGCUUCUGUCACAGGUUGUGUUACAGCUAUAGAAAAAUAGAUUUAAAAGAGUAAUCUCCGUUUAAUAUACACUAUCUGAUAUGGCUUUACCAUAAUGGCAUGCAAAUAACUAUAAACAGGCCUGAAGUCUCAACUACCUGAGGUUAAGUUCUCUACUUGCAGGGAUUUGGGCAGAGCAAUGGAAACAUUCCAACCUAUAGAUACUCCGUCUAGGUCCCUACAGACCAGCAAAUGACACCCUAUUUGCUAUGUAGUGCACAGUUUGGACCACGGCCCUAUGAGCCUGUUCAAAGUAGUGCGCUAAAUAUGGACCUGGGUGAAAACAGGCAACACAAGUAGGUUGCCAUUUGGGAUGUACCUAUGGAGAACUAAGAUAUACUUCCAAUUUCAGGCUUUAUCGCGACGCAUUCUUGUUCAUUUAUGUACAGUUCUGGUGUUAUUAUAUACACAAUGACUGAUAUUAAACAAAAAGGAUUGCAGAAGGUAACAGUGUACUGUGUGCGUGUGCGUGCGUGCAGGUGCGUGUGUGUGCAGGUGCGUGCGCAUGUGUGUGUGUAUGUGCGUGUGUAUGUGUGUGUGUGCGUGUGUGUGCAGGUGCAUGUGUGUGUAUGUACGUGCGUGUGUGUGUGUGUGUGAGAGAGAUGGGUGAUGUGGAGAUCGCAGAGCCCGCUAGCAGUUGCAGGCGUGGGAGGACUAUAUGUGGGGACGUAGACGACGCUAACGACAGUUGCCUGUGAGAGUUAAGCCCUUGGCGGUGUUGUUCUGUUUAGCUGGAUCCAGGAGGUGUCUGUUACCUCUCCCUCUGAUCUGUAUUUCCCUUUCUUGUUCAAUGUCUCUGUAGGCACCGGUGUUUACAUUCUAUUUCUACGCGCCAGUACGAAGUUCUUGUGUAAUUCCGCUCUUUAAAGUACUGUUUAACCACUCCUGCCGACGUGUCUGACUCCUAUCAUUCCCUUUCUGAUAACAGGAGACAAAGAGAGAGUGAGAUAGUUAGGAACAAGGCCAUUGAUUCCCCAGUCUAGAGCAUAACAUCCUCCACACAAACACCCUCUCUAAUAAACCAUAACCUUGUCCCAAAUUCCACAAUAUUCCCUUUCUUGUGCACCCUACAGUAUAUAGUGCCCAUGGGCCCCCCAGUCAAAGGUAGUGCACUAGAUAGGGAAUAGGUUACCAUUUGGGAUGCCGUCCAUGCCUACACAGUUAUACUUAAAUCAGGAGGAAAAAUAACCUCGGGAUGUUAACUGAUGUCUCUCUCUUUCUCUCUACCCCCCCCCCCCCUUGCUCCCUCCCAGACCUGCAAAUCUGAACUGAGGAGAAUCAAUGACAGUCAAGUGUGAGAAUCCUUCUUAAUGAAAGGCUACAAGGCAAACUCGUUUUCCUCUUUAAUGUCAGUAAUCGACUCCCUUCUUCUCCCAAAUCUGCCCCAUUUAACACGUGAAGGACCAGUACAGGAUGUACCUGCUCACCUAGCUUACACCUCGCUUCAGCCAUGAAUCUCUUCUCCAUUAGUACUUUACCAGAAAUCCUUAAUACUUUAUGCUCUCUGUAAUGAUCAAGUGGCGCAUUUGUAGCUUUUUUUCCUGGUCCUGUCUCUUUUCUGCUUCAUAGGCGAUUUUGUGUCUUUGGGAAGGGAGGGAAUAGACAUAUGAGGAGGUGGAUUAUGAGUUAUAGCCUGAAGACACAUAAAGUCAAAGGCUUUUUGCCCUGAAAUAUGUUAUGAGCUGAUAAGAACCCUAGUUGCUCUACACAGAGGGACUCAGCUAUUCUCUCCCUUUCCCUUUCUCUCUCCCUCUUUCUUUUCCUCUCUGCUCUGUCUCUCUGAUUCUUUCUCCCUCUUGCAAUGGGAAAUUACUGUUUGAAGUCCUGCAGUCAGGCCCAGCGCAGUACCUGGGGCUGACUGACCUGGCUACCAUAACAGAGCUGGGUCCGUAGGGAACAUCAAGCGGUACAGGAGUAGCGUGAACCACGUACAGCAGCACCAGGCCAAGUGCACCAGGCACUCUGAAGUCAUUCCCUACAACUCCCACUCGUCUGAAACCCCUCAACAUUGGCAGAUCUAUCUAAAGAUGGUAAACAUCAGUGUGUUAGUGCCAAGGGGACCAGCUUAGCCUGUCUCGUCUUCCCCGCAACAAACACUCCACUGAACCCAAAGGGCAGCUGAUGCUGCAUGGAUGUUAGUCACAAGCAUUCAUUCUAGUCUAAAAAUGUAGUACAGAGUGUAAAGGGCAUUAUUUUGGCCAUGAGAUUUGUGAAAGCUGCGGUGUUAUUAGAGCCAUUGGAUAUUUGUCAGAGCCUACUGAUAGUAAGAGAAAUCCUAUGGCAUAACCUACAGACAGUAAGACAAACAUUAAGCAGCUCCUCAGACUGGUUUACUGAAGACAGAACAUUGUCAAUGUUAUGUUAUAAGAAUUCCUGGCCCCUAACCUCUUCAUCGAGUGGCCCUUUGCUAAUGUGUUUAGUGAUUACUUGCCAGUGUUUUAGGAAAAUUAGAAUUGAGGCAAUGCACUAUUUUCAAAAAAUCAAAACCCAUUUGCGAGCCAAUUGUGUCUCACCGCAACCUGGUGUUAGAUGGUUUCUCAUCUUGAAAGUAGUCUAUGAGUGAAGAGAAUUUGUAGUCCAUGGUUUAAACUGUUUUGGAUACGCAGUUAUGAUGUCCUACAAACAUUAGCUGGGGAUAACUAGAAUCAAUGGAAUCAAUGGAUGUUUGUUUUUAAUCUCAAAAUCAGUAAAAUGAACUUAUUUGGUUUGAUGUGACUAAAAGAG
ensembl:lncRNA